rnacentral:lncRNA from 1 species
AAGCAGUGGGUGUCCCUCUCAGCUAUGCGGGGCAGAAGCAAAAGACAAGAUGAAUGAGCUGCUCUGUGUGUUUGCAUGACAGAAUAUUUUGCAGCCUCCCUGGAUAAACAAGCUGUCAUCCACCACCCAACCCUCUGUCAACUGAAGCAGCUUGGGGAAAAGAUAAUGCUGCGGGUUUGGACUCUCUCCUAGGCUGCCAGUGCCCUAAUUACUACACAAGCAAAACAAGCCCACAGAGUUGUAGGCAGAGAGGGGCUUGCUGGCCGACUAGGGAGGAGUGUCACUUUCCCAGUCCCAGGGAGGGGUGGAAGACAAGCACUAAUGUUUAUUGAGCACCUACUGUGUGCCAGACACUUGGCACAUGUCAUCUUAUUUAAUACAGUUCAAGUAUCAUCCCCAUUUUGCAGAUGAGGAAACAGAGGCUCAGAGAGGCCUGAUAAUGCACUCAGUUAAAGGACUCACUCCAAGGUCUUCCCAUUGCACUUCACUGCCUCCCUGGAAAAUGUCCAGGUUUGGUUUCCUCUCUUCUUUCCCAAUCCUGCAGAAUCAAAUCCAAAGGCGUGUUCAUGACUUUGCAGCUCUAUUGACUCUUUUUGUUUCUUUCUAAGACGUCUAUUUGUAAGAAAUAAAAUUGUUGGGCUCAGCAGCAGGACAAUAACUAUAAAGAAAUCUGCCAUUAGCAGCACAGACUUUAGCUCCCAGCAUUACUGUAUAUUCAAAGUAGAUUCCCAAAACAUCAUUUGACACAAACAGUCAUUCCAAAAGGACUCCAUUUGCCUCCUUCCUCCUGCCCCGCCUCAGGCACGCCUGACCAAGGUCGAAUGAAGAAGAGGAAAGGAGGUGAGAGAAGACUCCAAGCAGCCAGGGGCAGCUGAGAAGGAACUAGGCUGCCCUGCUAGGAGAUGGCAGCAGUCCCCUGAUUCAGGGGACAGAUAAGCUGAUUCUUCCCACCCCAUCCCCUUCCUGACCUGAUAGAUGGGGAAACUGAGUUUCAGAGAGGAGCAGCGACUGGCCAGUGAUGGGAUUAGAUCCCAAACCCUUUGACUCCCAGCCCACAGUGAUCUUCCAACACAACAUGCAGCUUCGUCAGAGGCCAAGAAAUCCAUUUAUAAGGAAAUUUUGUAUGUGCAUUUCAUUUGUAUGAUUUAAUUUUUUUACCUCAAAAAGAAUUAUAAUAUAUAGCUUUCAAUGCAAAUGGGAAAAGCUUACACAUCUUCAUAUAAAGAGAAGGAAUAUCCAAAAAGUAACAAGAAUGUUCCUAGUGCUGUCUUUCAUAGUAAAUUUGCAUGAUUGUACACCACACUCCAGCCACAAUGAUCUUUUUCUUAGUUCCUCAAAGCCCCCAGCCUUGUUCCUACCUGAGGACCUUUUCAUUUGAUAUUCCCUCUGCCCAGAACUCAUUUCCCUAGGCUUACAUGGCUGGAUUUCUCUUGUCACUGAGAUCUCAACUCAAAUGUCACCCCCUCUCAACAGUCUUCCCUGACCACCCUCCUUCAGGUAACCAUGCUGUCAAUCCCCAUAACAAUGGGUGUCAACCCUGGGCACGGUCACUUCCACCUGCAUGGCUUAAAAUACAGAUUGCUGAGCUCCGUCCCCCACAGUUUCUAAUUUAAUAGGCCUGGGGUGAGUCCUGAGAAUUUACAUUUCUAACAUGAUCCAAGAUUGUGCUGAUGAUAUUGGUCCAGGAAUCACUUUGAGAGCCACCGCCCUACAACAUCACCCUGUUUUAUUGUCUUCGUGGUGUUUAUCACAAUCUGAAAUUAUCUUAGGCAUCUAUUCAGUUUCUUUAUUAUGGCUUGCCUUUUUUACUGAUUAGGAGCUCCUGAGAGAAGGGUGACUGUCUGUCUUGUUUAUUGCAGUAUCUCCAGGACUCAGAAGAGAACCAGCCUCCUGGAAGCUAUCCCUUAUUCAGUGAAGUCUCCUGGAAGCUAUCUCUUAUUCAAUGAAGUCUUCAGUCCCAGCUGAAUGACUUCAUCGUUAGUGACUGCAGAAGACAGGUCAACUGCUGAUAGCCAGGUGAGAAGAGGAGGUAAGAGGUCUAAUAAGAGUGAGAAAAGCUUUAAAUAAUUGCUGUGAAUGGUAAAGGAAUGAGCUGGCUGGAGAAACACAAGCCCAGCUCUAGAAACUACAGUUGGAGUUGGUAAUGAGUAAGUCAAAGAAUAAAGAAUCCAAGAUGUGAAGAGUUAUCCAAAUGCUUUCUUCUCUAUUCUCUUAGUCACUUUGUUAGCUUCCAAUUGCUUCUGUAACAAAUUACCACGAAUCAGUGGCUAACAAGGAAACAAAUGUAUUAUCUUACACUUCUGGAGGUCAGAAGUCCAAAGUGAGUCAGCAUGGCUGUGUUCCUUCUAGGGAGAGCAUCUGCUUCCUUGCUGUUUCCAGUUUCUGGAGGCUGCCUACAUUCCUUGGGUCACAGCCCCUUCCUCCAUCGUUAGAGCCAGCAGUGUAGCAUCUUCAAAACACACACACUUUCUCUCUUUUUCUCUCUCUCUCCUUCUCUCUCUCACUCACUCACUCUCCCCCACCCCCUACUCCACUCCCUGAUCUCUACAGAGCAAUAUAUUUGCAGGUUUCAGGGUUGGAACAUGGCAUCUUUUGGAGAGUGGGGCACAUUAUUCUACCAGUCACCAACUGAGACAGUCACUUCCCACAUUUCAACAUCAUCUGGAACCACUUCCUCUAAAGUCAUUAAUCCAUGCAUCCCACCAUGGUUAUGGGGUUUAAACAAGUAUCGUAUUUAAGAGAGAAACCUUUAGACUAGCUGCAUUAGGCUUAACCUUGAGCAAGUCAUUCUACUUCCUGAACCUCAGUUUCCUAACCCAGAAGAUGAGCUUUAAAACUAAUAGAACAACUAGCAGUGUUUUAUUUGCUAUGUGCCAAGCAUUGUCUGAGUGGCUUGCAUAUGUCAUCUAACUUAAAUCUCCCUAGAGCCCUAUGAGUACAAAUGAGGAAACUGAGUCCCAGGCUGGUUAUAUAACUGCCUGAGGUUGAGGUUGGUGAUGAGCAAGUCAAGGAAUAAAGAAUCCAAGAUGUCCCUGCAACCUCCUCUCCUUCCAGCCUGCAUGCCCAAGCAACCCAUUGCAGCCAUUCUUCAAUCUUAUCAGGACCUCCAGACUAUCCACCUUUCCUCUUGCUCCCAUCCACAAGCCCUGCCUCUCUUCCUUUCCUCCCUUUCUCAUUUGGAUCCUGUGAUCUAUCAUUACUAAAAUGCCUCACCCCUCCAUAUCUCCAUCACACCUAUUGGCAAUAACCCAAUCUUGGAUGGGCUUCCAUCUUCCUCCUCCAUGCUGUCACUGGGGAAACACUGCUGGACAAAACCACACAACAGUACAUGUAAAUCUUCAGUGUCCAUCACAACUUUACCAUGGAGGCAUGGGAAGACUGAGAAGCCAAUGGAGGGUGUUAAGCUUGGAAGUGACUCCAUCAGAAUUGUGGAAAGGUCACCUCUGCAACAGGAUGGAGAACAGAUUGGAGGAAGGAGGCAGGGAGAUGAAGGAGUGACCCCUUCACCCCAGC